UCCUUUCUAAGGAUGAUCCUUCAGCAACUGAACUUGUUCAGUUCUAUCGGAUCUCUUGGAACAUAAGCCGAUUGAUCAGUCGGCAUCUGGCGGGACGCCGCCGUCUUCGUUUCUCUUUCUUCCCGGACGAGCACCGCACACGGUGUGUGCGGCCCUAGAGCGCCGCUAUCAUGUGCUGCGGUCGGGGGCUUGUAGCUCAGUUGGUUAGAGCGCGCGCUUGAUAAGCGUGAGGUCGGAAGUUCAAGUCUUCCCAGGCCCACCACUUUAUCCGCGUGUGAACCAAUGGGGGCCAUAGCUCAGCUGGGAGAGCACCUGCUUUGCAAGCAGGGGGUCGUCGGUUCGAUCCCGACUGGCUCCACCAGUUCGCGUUCACCGCGCAUCGAACGUCCGGGAAAUGAAGUUUCGCAACGAGCCUCGCGGCUUGGUUGCGUGUUGUCUGACAUUGUGAAGAGCGAAUUCGAUUGUACCUGCAUGCCUUACGGCAUGUUGGGCGCAAGCUGCCGGGGCAUGAGUGUGCCGGCGUAACAUCGAAUUCCGAAGCAAGCUGGUCUUUUUGAUCAGAUUGCCGGCGGCUAGCCGGUAGUCUGGAUCUGACCGAUGUUCAUCCGGCGCCGAGCCGGGCGGACAUCGAUAAUGAGAGUAAUCAAGUGUGAUAAGGGCAUUCGGUGGAUGCCUUGGCGCUAAGAGGCGAUGAAGGACGUGGUACGCUGCGAUAAGCUUCGGGGAGCUGCGAACAGGCUUUGAUCCGAGGAUUUCC
rnacentral:misc_RNA from 2 species